rnacentral:rRNA from 1 species
AUUGAACGCUGGCGGCAUGCUUUACACAUGCAAGUCGAACGGCAGCGGGGUAGUGCUUGCACUACUGCCGGCGAGUGGCGAACGGGUGAGUAAUAUAUCGGAACGUACCGAGUAAUGGGGGAUAACCAAUCGAAAGAUUGGCUAAUACCGCAUACGUCCUGAGGGAGAAAGCGGGGGAUCGCAAGACCUCGCGUUAUUCGAGCGGCCGAUAACUGAUUAGCUAGUUGGUGGGGUAAAGGCCUACCGAGGCGACGAUCAGUAGCGGGUCUGAGAGGACGAUCCGCCACACUGGGACUGAGACACAGCCCAGACUCCUACGGGAGGCAGCAGUGGGGAAUUUUGGACAAUGGGGGCAACCCUGAUCCAGCCAUGCCGCGUGUAUGAAGAAGGCCUUCGGGUUGUAAAGUACUUUUGUUAGGGAAGAAAAGGGAAGUGCUAAUACCACUUUUUGCUGACGGUACCUAAAGAAUAAGCACCGGCUAACUACGUG